AUUGAACGCUGGCGGCAGGCCUAACACAUGCAAGUCGGGCGGAGCGGCGGACGGGUGAGUAAUGUAUGGGGAUCUGCCUGAUGGAGGGGGAUAACUACUGGAAACGGUAGCUAAUACCGCAUACCAUCAGAUCAGCCUAUGUCGGAUUAGCUUGUUGGUGGGGUAAGGGCCUACCUAGGCAACGAUCCGUAACUGGUCUGAGAGGAUGCUCAUCAACACUGGAACUGCGACACGGCCCAGACUCCUACGGUAGGCAUCAGUGGGGAAUAUUGGACAAUGGGCGAAAGCCUGAUCCAUCCAUGCCGCGUGUGUGAAGAAGGUCUUCGGAUUGUAAAGCACUUUAAGUUGGGAGGCGUUACCAACAGAAUAAGCACCGGCUAACUUCGUGCCAGCCGCCGCGGUAAUAC
rnacentral:rRNA from 1 species